rnacentral:pre_miRNA from 1 species
CUUGUACUCCCUCUAUCCGAAAAUACUUGUCAUUGAAAUGGAUGUAUCUAGAUGUAUUUUAGUUCUAGACACAUCCAUUUUGAUGACAAGUAAUUCCGGACGGAGGGAGUACUUG